GAGGGUAUAGCUCAGUGGUGGAGUUCAUACCUAGCAUGCACAAGGUCCUGGGUUCAAUCCCCAGCACCUGCA
rnacentral:tRNA from 1 species